GACGAACGCUGGCGGCGUGCUUAACACAUGCAAGUCGAACGGAAAGGCCCUGCUUUUGUGGGGUGCUCGAGUGGCGCACGGGUGAGUAACACGUGAGUAACCUGCCCUUGACUUUGGGAUAACUUCAGGAAACAGGGGCUAAUACCGGAUAGGAGAUCCUGCUCCACGGUGGGGAUUGGAAAGUUUCGGCGUUUGGGGAUGGUCGCGAUGGUUCUGCGCUUGUUUGUGAGGUAGUGGUGUACCAAGGUUGUGAAGGGUAGCCGGCCUGGGAGGGUGACCGGGCACAAGGGGACUGAGGGACGGCGCAGAAUCCAACGGGAGGCAGCGGGGGGGAAUAUUGCACAAUAGGCGGAAGCCUGAUGUGGCAACGCCGCGAGCGGGAUGCCGGCUUACGGGUUGUAAACAGAUUUCUCCUGUGACGAAGCGUGAGUGACGGUAAUGGGUAAAGAAGCACCGGCUAACUACGUG
rnacentral:rRNA from 1 species